GACGAACGCUGGCGGCGUGCUUAACACAUGCAAGUCGAGCGGUAAGGCCCCUUCGGGGGUACACGAGCGGCGAACGGGUGAGUAACACGUGAGCAAUCUGCCCAUCACAUCGGGAUAACUCCGGGAAACCGAAGCUAAUACCGAAUACGACCACCUCCGGCAUCGGAUGGUGGUGGAAAGUUUUGGCGGUGAUGGAUGAGCUCGCGGCCUAUCAGCUUGUUGGUGGGGUAAUGGCCUACCAAGGCUUCGACGGGUAGCCGGCCUGAGAGGGUGACCGGCCACACUGGGACUGAGACACGGCCCAGACUCCUACGGGAGGCAGCAGUGGGGAAUAUUGGACAAUGGGCGAAAGCCUGAUCCAGCAACGCCGCGUGAGGGAUGACGGCCUUCGGGUUGUAAACCUCUUUCAGCAGGGACGAAGCGCAAGUGACGGUACCUGCAGAAGAAGCACCGGCCAACUUCGUGCCAGCAGCCGCAGUAAGAC
rnacentral:rRNA from 1 species